rnacentral:pre_miRNA from 1 species
UCUUAUGAAUGAGCAAAGAAAGUUGUUUCUUGGGAUAGAAGCUAUUCUUUGUGAAGAUGUAGUGAA